rnacentral:rRNA from 1 species
AUUGAACGCUGGCGGCAUGCUUUACAAAUGCAAGUCGAACGGUAACAGGGUGCUUGCACCGCUGACGAGUGGCGAACGGGUGAGUAAUGCGUCGGAACGUGCCGAGUAGUGGGGGAUAACGCAUCGAAAGGUGUGCUAAUACCGCAUACGUACUGAGGUAGAAGGUGGGGGACCUUCGGGCCUCACGCUAUUCGAGCGGCUGACGUCUGAUUAGCUAGUUGGUGAGGUAAAGGCUCACCGAGGCGACGAUCAGUAGCGGGUCUGAGAGGAUGAUCCGCCACACUGGGACUGAGACACGGCCCAGACUCCUACGGGAGGCAGCAGUGGGGAAUUUUGGACAAUGGGCGCAAGCCUGAUCCAGCCAUGCCGCGUGUCUGAAGAAGGCCUUCGGGUUGUAAAGGACUUUUGUCCGGGAGCAAAUACCCAGUGCUAAUAACGCUGGGAGCUGAGAGUACCGGAAGAAUAAGCACCGGCUAACUACGUGCCAGCCGCCGCAGUAAUAC